CUGUGUUAAUGUAUAAUAAGGUUUUUCUCUUCUGUAGCUCUUCUUGUGCGAACCAUCGUGGCUAUUUUAUUAGCCUGUGAUCCAACGCGCAAGAAAAACUUUGCACGAUGCAUUUAGUGCGUAAAGCACGUAAAGUUCUCAUCUGAAAUGGCCCUUUAUUACAGGCAUUAGUCGUCGAACCGAAUGGCCAUUCGCUUUUACGACUGCUUUAUCCGCAUGUUCCGUUUCUGACUCAUCGCUUCCAGAGCCACCUUCGUCGGUUCCCAGGCAAUUCCUAUCGGUUCCAGAAUCACCAUCACGUGGAUCAUUUCAUAAAUCCCCGUCCAUUUCACAAAAACAACCACUCACGCCACCGGAAGGUGAUGCUGCAGCGACUGCAUUCACGCUGGCUGCCGGUAAUACAGUCAAUCGCCAUCAUUUUGUCUCCUCCCCUAUUCGGUGUAGUGCCGAUGUUUAUCUCCCAACCGACGGGAACAGCAAGACAGUCGGCUGUAUUAGAAGAUGGCCUCCUUUGCGGUCACAUGCUUCAACAGCGCUCCACCACCUACCUGUCCGCUCUGUCGCUUGUCCAAAAUUCGCGUCGGUUCCUCGCGCACUGAUCCGCUCGCGGUGGAUAUCCGCAGUUACGUAUCCAGCUGGCCUCACACAAUACAUCCACUCUUGAGACGAUACGCGUGCUGCGUUUGUUCCACGGGAUUACGUAUGCACGACAACAUUAUCAUCUGAAAAGACGCACUGAUCUAAUACACCACAGACCAUGGUAGUUUAUUUGGCAAAGCUGAGUGUUCAAUGCAAAGUCAGAAGUGGAGUGCUCCAACCACCAUUGUCCAGUGUGAUCUGGAUUUCUUCCAGACCUGGUAGUGGCACAAUGAGUCAAUCGAAAUUAGUCGCCUAAGCUAGUCACGGACGACAAGAAACGCGGAGCGAAAACUUUCUGUAGUGAACGAAGCUUUUUUGUUGUGAACCAGUAAACCGCAUUUAAUUCCCUUUCUUUUUUCCCUUUUUACUGGGGUAGAUUUCCGCUGCCAUAUGCAGCCCAUACCUUUUAAACAGCUCUCCUGCUACGGUGUGUAAAAAUUAAUGUGUAAUGUUCAUGACUUCAUGUUGUCAUUCACACUUCUACCGACGUGCGGCUGCGAGGCGCUAGGACCAUACGUACGUAUGUACAGUAUUGUACAUACAACUACCACAUCGCGCGCUGAUUGGGUACCACGCAUUAUUAUCUUCUAAUCGUCUGCAUUCGAACUUCCCGCCA